CGAGAUGGCGUUCUCGCUCACACGAAAGACCUGGGGUUACGACUUAAUGCCAAGAAAGGUGUGCUUUCUCCAGUACAGCGAACCACUUAUCUGGGCAUGGUGUGGGAUUCGACCACGGUGGAGGCACAGAUGUCUCCUGUUCGGAUCGAGUCGAUCUUCACAGCCGUCGCGAGAGUAAGAGAAGGCCGGUCACUCACUGUCAAGCAGUUCUAGACUGCUGGGUCUGAUGGCAGCUGCGUGCCGUGGACAUGUGGAGGAGAUCUUGGUUCUUGUCUCAGGGCCCAGUGCUUGGAGCUCCUUGUCGCCGCGUGACGCUAGCGACAGAUGCGUCCCUCACUGGCUGGGGUGCGGUCAUGAGUGGCCACCCUGCCCGCGGUUUGUGGAGGCAUAUAAACUGCCUGGAGAUGUUGGCCAUGCUUCAAGCAUUAAAACACUUUCUCCCAAACCUAAGAGUCACCAUGUGUUGGUGCGCACCGACAACACAACGGUGGUCUCUUAUAAUAUCCACCAAGGGGUCUGUGCUCAGGCCGUUUGUCCAAACUAGCGUACCAGAUCCUUGUGUGGUCCCAGGGCAAACUCCUCUUGCUGAGAGCAGUUCACAUUCCUGGGCAUCUGAAUAUGGGAGCAGACAUCCUGUUGAGGCAGGGGCCGAGGCCCGGGGAAUGGAGGCUUCACCCCAGGUGGUGAAGCAGAUAUGGAGAAUAUUUGGUCAGGUGGAUCUGUUUGCGACUCAGAUGAUAUCGCACUGUCCCCUUUGGUUCUCUCUGACUCAUCCGGCUCCACUGGGGCUGGAUGCCAUGGUGCAAACUUGGCCGAGGCUUCGUCUGUACUCUUUUCCCCCGAUUGCUCUGCUCCCAGGAGUUCUGCUGAGAGUACGCCAGGAUGGGGUCCAUCUUCUAAUAGUAGCCCCGUUCUGGCCUGGCCGAGUAUGUUUCUUGGAUCUGAUUUUUCUCCUCGACGGCGCUCCAUGGGAGAUUCCCGUCAGGAGGGAUCUCCUCUCACAGGCAGAGGGCACGAUAUUCCACCCCGGCC
ensembl:lncRNA